rnacentral:rRNA from 1 species
GGGUAGCCGGCCUGAGAGGGUGACCGGCCACAAUGGGAAUGAGACACGGCCCAGAUUCUUACGGGAGGCAGCAGUGGGGAAUAUUGCACAAUGGGCGGAAGCCUGAUGCAGGGACGCCGCUUGAGGGAUGACGGCCUUCGGGUUGUAAACCUCUUUCAGUAGGGAAGAAGCGAAAGUGACGGUACCUGCAGAAGAAGCGCCGGCUAACUACGUGCCAGCAGCCGCGGUAAUACGUAGGGCGCAAGCGUUAUCCGGAAUUAUUGGGCGUAAAGAGCUCGUAGGCGGUUUGUCGCGUCUGCCGUGAAAGUCCGGGGCUCAACUCCGGAUUUGCGGUGGGUACGGGCAGACUAGAGUGAUGUAGGGGAGACUGGAAUUCCUGGUGUAGCGGUGAAAUGCGCAGAUAUCAGGAGGAACACCGAUGGCGAAGGCAGGUCUCUGGGCAUUAACUGACGCUGAGGAGCGAAAGCAUGGGGAGCGAACAGGAUUAGAUACCCUGGUAGUCCAUGCCGUAAACGUUGGGCACUAGGUGUGGGGGACAUUCCACGUUUUCCGCGCCGUAGCUAACGCAUUAAGUGCCCCGCCUGGGGAGUACGGCCGCAAGGCUAAAACUCAAAGGAAUUGACGGGGGCCCGCACAAGCGGCGGAGCAUGCGGAUUAAUUCGAUGCAACGCGAAGAACCUUACCAAGGCUUGACAUGGACCGGAUCGCCGCAGAAAUGUGGUUUCUCCUUUGGGGCCGGUUCACAGGUGGUGCAUGGUUGUCGUCAGCUCGUGUCGUGAGAUGUUGGGUUAAGUCCCGCAACGAGCGCAACCCUCGUUCCAUGUUGCCAGCACGUAGUGGUGGGGACUCAUGGGAGACUGCCGGGGUCAACUCGGAGGAAGGUGGGGACGACGUCAAAUCAUCAUGCCCCUUAUGUCUUGGGCUUCACGCAUGCUACAAUGGCCGGUACAAAGGGUUGCGAUACUGUGAGGUGGAGCUAAUCCCAAAAAGCCGGUCUCAGUUCGGAUUGGGGUCUGCAACUCGACCCCAUGAAGUCGGAGUCGCUAGUAAUCGCAGAUCAGCAACGCUGCGGUGAAUACGUUCCCGGGCCUUGUACACACCGCCCGUCAAGUCACGAAAGUUGGUAACACCCGAAGCCGGU